UACGAAGGGGGCUAGCGUUGCUCGGAAUCACUGGGCGUAAAGCGCACGUAGGCGGAUUGUUAAGUCAGGGGUGAAAUCCUGGAGCUCAACUCCAGAACUGCCUUUGAUACUGGCGAUCUUGAGUCCGGGAGAGGUGAGUGGAACUGCGAGUGUAGAGGUGAAAUUCGUAGAUAUUCGCAAGAACACCAGUGGCGAAGGCGGGUCUCUGGGCCGAUACUGACGCUGAGGAGCGAAAGCGUGGGGAGCGAACGAGGAUU
rnacentral:rRNA from 1 species